UGGGGAAUAUUGGACAAUGGGCGCAAGCCUGAUCCAGCCAUGCCGCGUGAGUGAAGAAGGCCUUCGGGUUGUAAAACUCUUUCACCGGGGAAGAUAAUGACGGUACCCGGAGAAGAAGCCCCGGCCAACUCCGUGCCAGCAGCCGCGGUAAGACGGAGGGGGCUAGCGUUGUUCGGAAUUACUGGGCGUAAAGCGCGCGUAGGCGGUUUGACAAGUUGGGCGUGAAAGCCCGGGGCUCAACCCCGGAAUUGCGUUCAAAACUGUCUGACUAGAGGCCGGGAGAGGAGAGUGGAAUUCCCAGUGUAGAGGUGAAAUUCGCAGAUAUUGGGAAGAACACCAGUGGCGAAGGCGGCUCUCUGGCCCGGAUCUGACGCUGAGGUGCGAAAGCGUGGGGAGCAAACAGG
rnacentral:rRNA from 1 species